rnacentral:rRNA from 1 species
UACGGGGGGAGCAAGCGUUGUUCGGAUUUACUGGGCGUAAAGAGCUUGUAGGCGGUUUGUCGCGUCUGCUGUGAAAUUUCGGGGCUCAACCCCGAACUUGCAGUGGGUACGGGCAGACUAGAGUGUGGUAGGGGAGACUGGAAUUCCUGGUGUAGCGGUGAAAUGCGCAGAUAUCAGGAGGAACACCGAUGGCGAAGGCAGGUCUCUGGGCCACUACUGACGCUGAGAAGCGAAAGCAUGGGGAGCGAACAGG